GGGGUUGUGGCUCAGUGGUAGAGCGCUUGCCUUGCAUGUGAGAGACCCUGGCUUUGAUCCUCAAUUCCA
rnacentral:tRNA from 1 species